rnacentral:tRNA from 1 species
GUAGGGAUGGCUCAGUGGUUAAGAGUACUUGCUUGUGUUGCAGAAGACUUGAGUUUGAUUCUCAGUAUCCACA